UAUCGAUGGGGAUGCGUUCCAUUAGUUUGUUGGCGGGGUAACGGCCCACCAAGACUACGAUGGAUAGGGGUUCUGAGAGGAAGGUCCCCCACAUUGGAACUGAGACACGGUCCAAACUCCUACGGGAGGCAGCAGUGAGGAAUAUUGGUCAAUGGGCGAGAGCCUGAACCAGCCAAGUAGCGUGAAGGAUGAAGGCUCUAUGGGUCGUAAACUUCUUUUAUAUGGGAAUAAAGUUUUCCACGUGUGGAAUUUUGUAUGUACCAUAUGAAUAAGGAUCGGCUAACUCCGUGCCAGCAGCCGCGGUAAUACGGAGGAUCCGAGCGUUAUCCGGAUUUAUUGGGUUUAAAGGGAGCGUAGGUGGAUUGUUAAGUCAGUUGUGAAAGUUUGCGGCUCAACCGUAAAAUUGCAGUUGAAACUGGCAGUCUUGAGUACAGUAGAGGUGGGCGGAAUUCGUGGUGUAGCGGUGAAAUGCUUAGAUAUCACGAAGAACUCCGAUUGCGAAGGCAGCUCACUAGACUGUUACUGACACUGAUGCUCGAAAGUGUGGGUAUCAAACAGGAUUAGAUACCCUGGUAGUCCACACAGUAAACGAUGAAUACUCGCUGUUUGCGAUAUACAGUAAGCGGCCAAGCGAAAGCAUUAAGUAUUCCACCUGGGGAGUACGCCGGCAACGGUGAAACUCAAAGGAAUUGACGGGGGCCCGCACAAGCGGAGGAACAUGUGGUUUAAUUCGAUGAUACGCGAGGAACCUUACCCGGGCUUAAAUUGCAACAGAAUAUAUUGGAAACAGUAUAGCCGUAAGGCUGUUGUGAAGGUGCUGCAUGGUUGUCGUCAGCUCGUGCCGUGAGGUGUCGGCUUAAGUGCCAUAACGAGCGCAACCCUUAUCUUUAGUUACUAACAGGUGAUGCUGAGGACUCUAGAGAGACUGCCGUCGUAAGAUGUGAGGAAGGUGGGGAUGACGUCAAAUCAGCACGGCCCUUACGUCCGGGGCUACACACGUGUUACAAUGGGGGGUACA
rnacentral:rRNA from 1 species